CCUGACUGUAUCCUGGAAUUGGGUUCGGGCUUUUCUUGCGCAGUCUAGGUGGGAGGCUAUGAAGAUUUCCUUCCGGGGAAGUUGGAGCCAACAGUGAGAGACCACUCUGGAGAGGCUAGAAUCCUAAUGGUGAUCCUUGAAUCAGGACACUUGACAGUUUCAGGUGGGCAGUUUUUCUGGGGCGGAAGCCUCAUAAAGGGUAACUGAGGCGCGCAAAGGUCCCCUCAGUCUGGACGGAAAUCAGACAACGAGUGUAAGGGCAAAAGGGGGCUUGACUGCAAGACCUACAAGUCGAGCAGGAGCGAAAGCUGGCCUUAGUGAUCCGACGGUACCGCGUGGAAGGGCCGUCGCUCAACGAAUAAAAGUUA
rnacentral:rRNA from 1 species